UCCACGUAGCUAAACAUUAUUUUCUCUCUGAAUAUUUGAGAGUCGACGACUCUUUCACUUCCUGUUCGUCUCCAAACUCAGAAUUUACAGUUACCUUGGACACUACUUAUCAACAAUGAUGAUUUAAACUAUUCUUCGUUGUUUGUCCUUGAUUGUUUCGUUUCACCUCCCAUUUAUCCUCCUCCUAUAUAAAGUGCGUCUAAACCUAAAUCUACCCAAAAUAUUGGCUGUAGAAACGCAUCUUAGUGAUAUGUGAUUGGGGGCUUUUUGUCGAAAUCGCUUUCAAAUCGCUUUCAAAUGGAACUGAAGGCUGGACGUGUUGAUUCGAUAACUCAACACUUUUAGGCAGACUGCUGCAUCUACUGGAAAGAACAUCUCUAAAGCAAAUGCAUAAGUUUGAGAAAUAAACAAAGUUGCAGGGGAAAAGCUCCUUUGCAUAUAUGUUGGCAUUGGAUGAGAGAGAGCUGAUGAGAGGCAACGAGGAGUAACAAUGACCGUGUCUGUUGGUUAUUUCAAUACUAAAACACAUCUUGUUUUGUUAGACUCUCCUUUUAGUUUUCUGUUUUUCUUUUUUGGUGAAAUAUGUUAAGAUUCAACCAAGCUUUUUGUUUUACAGAGUUGUGGAUGGCCACUUAUUUGAAAGAGGGAAGAAGGGCAUUAUACAUAAUAAGGAAAAGAGAAAAAAAGAUGCAGUAAUGAUGGACAGUUAACAGACGUCGCAUGAAGGAUAGCAGCCUGUCCCUAACCAAUCAAUCAACCUUGGCGAUGAGCGUAGCUUCUGAGGAUGAUGUUAACCGGAAGAUGCGUGAGUUCCUCUCCCUCCACAAGCAAUAAACAAUUACAUGCAGAAGAAGCUUUAACACCGAGCUAAGGCCAGGAGAAGAAGAGUAGACAUGCUGCCGUAGUACAUCGGAGAUAGAUAUAAUGGAUUGCGGAGGAGCCGAUAUAAAACUUCCACAGAAAUGAGUCCAUAUGGAAAUAGAGAAGGGGCAUUCAAAGAACAAAUUAGUAUGGGACUCAGAACCUGAAGAACAUAGGGUAUAAGCUGUCGGAACAUACAUCCCCCAUGAUCGGAGGCGAUCUCUUGUGGGUAACCUUUCCAGAACAGGCAGCCACAUGAUAAAUGAGCAUCUAUAUUCCAAAAAAAAAAAUGAGCAUCUAGGUAUUUCCCCCUUAAAACAGACCAAAGAGCACCAUUGCAUUUGUGUAGAAGGUUCCCUUAGUAGAUUCCAAGUUCCUUUAGUAGAGAAUUUAGGAACAAACUUGCGCUCUCCAUUACGCCAAAGGUAGCGAUCUGUGCCAUUAGAAGAGGAUGGUGGGGUCAUAGUUGACAGCACAAUCUGAAGAGUUUCUACCUCAGAAGAUCUUGCAGCUGAAAGAGACCAAUACCCUUGAUUAAUAGCAUCAUUCACCUUGGCAUUUUAGUUUUCUGUUUCUGCCACAGUCAAAGAUUGUUGUUCCAACAUGAUAAAUUCUGUUUGCUGGAAUAUGUUUAAUUUAAGACCAACUCUUCUUUGCUGCUUUUUUGUUUUUGUGUGCUGCAAUGGCAUGAUGUCAGUGAGUAUGUUAUAUAGGCUGCUUUUGUGUGCUGCAGUGGCAUGACUUGAUGUGUUAUGUUUUAUAGUUGUUUGCGUAUGUGAACUUCACCAUCA